GAGUCUGAGACGUCAAGGCCUCAUAUCCUCCAACCUUUUCUCCAGCUUCACUAGUACGAGUAGCAGCAGAUUGAGAGGAAGGGAAGGGGAAGCAGGAAGUGCUCAUCAUGAAUGUAGCAGCAGCAGCAAAAACACUCUUCAAUUACCCAUCCUCACCAUCAUCAUCAUCAAAGUCAGCUAGUAUUUCACUAUUUUCGUCUUACUCUUCAACAUCUUUUUCGUCCUCUCUUUGCCGUCCAGCCACUUUCUUUCUUCGAAACCUUAACCUCAUUUCUCAUUCUUCUCCUCCUCACUUAACAUCAUCAUUAGUAAUUGAACAAAAAUCCAGCACCACUGAAUCCAAUACUACUUCCACAACUAGUACUUCUACUGUAGAAGAAGUAGAUAAACAAGAAAAAGAAGAAACAAGUUCAUCUUCAAAAUCUGUAUCUCGUCGUCUCAUUCUUCUUCGCCAUGCUCAAAGUUCUUGGAAAGACCGUUCUUUACGAGAUCACAAUCGGCCUCUGAGUGAUGACGGGCGCGUUGAUGCUAUCACUGUUUCGAACAAACUUCAACAGUUGGGUUGGUUACCUCAGCUUAUUUUAUCUAGCGAUGCCACUCGGACACGGGAAACACUCAAAAUUAUGCAGGAGCAAGUCAAAAGUUUUUUAGAAGCUGAGGUGCACUUCAUCUCGAGCUUCUAUUCUAUAGCAGCAAUGGAUGGACAGACUGCUGAUCACCUUCAACAAGCUAUAUGUCAAUAUUCGAAGGACGAGAUAUUCACGGUGAUGUGUAUGGGACAUAACAGAGGAUGGGAGGAGGCAGCUUCAAUGCUUUCUGGUACCGCAAUAGAAUUGAAAACAUGCAAUGCUGCUUUGCUUGAAGCUCCUGGGAAAUCAUGGGAAGAGGCAUUUGCUUUGGCUGGACUUGGUGGGUGGAAUCUUCAUGGCAUUGUAAAACCCAGCUAAAUUGUCCCCAGAUGUUGGCAGUACAAGUAAUGAUCAAGUCCAAUCUUUCUGGCACAAGGUACUACUCAUGAAAAAUCUCUCCCAUCUUAGGCUUGAGGUACAAGCACCUGGAAAGUAAACAGGACAGCGUCUUCUCAAGGUUUUUUGGAGGAACUACUCUCGGACUGUCUUUAGUGGAUGUUUUAAAAAACUAUUACAGCCCAACCAAUGUUAUUCCCCUAACUUUCUACUGUAUACUUUUUGAUCUGUGAAUGAGCGUUAAGAGAAUAACUACAAGAUUAAUCCAACUACAAGGGGAAGGUUUCA